rnacentral:rRNA from 1 species
CAGCCGCCUCGGUAAUACAGAGGGUGCAAGCGUUAAUCGGAAUUACUGGGCGUAAAGCGCGCGUAGGUGGUUUGUUAAGUUGGAUGUGAAAUCCCCGGGCUCAACCUGGGAACUGCAUCCAAAACUGGCAAGCUAGAGUAUGGUAGAGGGUGGUGGAAUUUCCUGUGUAGCGGUGAAAUGCGUAGAUAUAGGAAGGAACACCAGUGGCGAAGGCGACCACCUGGACUGAUACUGACACUGAGGUGCGAAAGCGUGGGGAGCAAACAGGAUUAGAUACCCCCGUAGUCCCUGUCUCUUAUAA